rnacentral:lncRNA from 1 species
CGGAACAGGUGCAGACCAGAGCAGAGCUUUCAAUGAAAAUUUUAAGCAAGAUCAAGAUCCUGAAGCAUUUCUUCAAAAAGAAAUGCUUUGUAGGGGCCAGAUGCCACACAAGGCAGCUUACACACCUGGCACUAUUCCUUUAAAUACUUCUCUAAGGAAUUUCCUUCAUCUCUCAUUCUACAGACAAAGAAGCUAAAGAUUCAAAGAUCCCACGGAUCCUAGUGGGGAGUUGAACAGGAAUGAUGACUUCAAAGGCGGGGAAGCAGGGAUCUGUCUCCUCUCAGGGGGUUUAUAAACAGAGAAGUCCUUCAGAAGAAUCAUGGCAUAUUCAAGGAGCACAGAUUCCUGGGCGUUAGUCAGCAGAGUGACCACGUCAGCAUUCUUCAGGGCAGGGCCAGCCUCUUCAGGUGACCAGAAUCCAGAUGUUUUCCGCGUCCCCACCCUGUACUCAGGACCAUUUCUGGCUCCAUGAUAGCCUGUUCCUCACUCACCUACUCACUGUAUCAUUUAAAAAAUUUUAUUGUUUGACACUUCAGAGUGGCAGAGCAGAGUAAGACAGACUGAAUUUAAUUUACACACAUACAUGCACACAAAUAUACAGAAACAGGAACUUUGACAACUUACAGUGUGUGUGUAUGUGUGUGUGUGUGUGUGUGUAUAAGUUUAUACAUAUUUAUAUAAAGGGAUUUCAAAAAGUUUGGGAAAAAUAAAAUAUAAAAUUACAAACUUUAUUUCUCCACAUAAGAUCUAUCAAGUUCAAGAUACUUGUGUAAGCCAUGGUAUCAGCCAUUUAGUUCAUCCUUAAGAGCUGAGAGUCCUAGGAAUUUAACCAUGUCAGUGCAGUCACUUUUAUAUUAAAAUAACUGAAAAAUAAAAUGGGUAUCCUUAUGGCUUUUUCAGAUUAGGAACCAAAAGUAAGUCAGAAGCAGCCAAAUCAGGACAGUAUGAUGGAUGCCUCAUGAUUUUCUAUUAAGACUUCCACAAAUGUGCCCUUGCUUAAUGAGAAGAAGGAGCAGACGCGUUUUCGUGGUGAAGGACUCUCUGAUGGAGUCUCGCUCUGUCGCGCAGGCUGGAGUACAGUGUCACGAUCUCAGCUCACUGUAAUCUCUGUCUCCCGGAUUCAAGCGAUUCUCCUGCCUCAGCCUCCUGAGCCCCCCAACCAUAACUUAGGAAAGAAUGUGAGAGAUCAGACAGCAAAAGAGGACCAUGUGGAUUACUGUAAAAUGUUACCAUCCAGAAAAACCCAAAGGGUAAAGAAGUGGACAACCAUCACCACUAUCAAAUUUCAGAACAUUCUCAUCAUUCCAGAAAGAAACCUGUACACGUUGGCAGUCACUCCUAACUUACCCCUUCCUCCAUCUCCUGGAAACCAGUGAUCUACAUUCUGUAUCUAGAGACUUGCCUAUUCUGGUCAUUUAAUAUAAAUGGGAUCACACAUUUAAUGUCCAAUACGUGGCUUCUGUCCUUUAGCAUAAUAUUUUCAAUGUUGGCUCAUGUUGCAGCAUGUAUCAGUGCUUCAUUCCUUUUUAUUACUAAAUAACAUUCUAUGGUAUGGAUAGAUCAUAUUUUAUUUAAGUACUUAUUAGUUGAUAGACAUUUGGGUUUUUCUAUUUUUAACUGUUAAGAAUAAUGCUGUUAGGAAUAUUCAUGUACAGGGUUUGUAUAAACAUAUACUUUCAAUUCUCUUAGGUGUAAGUCUAGGAGUGAAAUUGGUAGGUCAUAUGAUAACACCCUGUUCUAGACAUUUUCAGAAAUUACUGACCUGCUUUCUAAAAUGGCUGCACAGUUUUACAAUUCCAACAGGAAUAUCUGAGGCUUCCAAUUUCUCCACGUCUUUCAUGUCAUAUAAUGUCACCUUUUUUGUUUUAGUUACUGUGGUGAUUGUGAAGAGAUAGCUCACUGUGAUUUUGAUUUGCAUUUCCCUACUGACUAAUAAAAUGAUAUUGACAAUGUAUUUUUGUAAUCACUGAUCACUUGUAUAUCUUCUUUGAAGAGCUUGUCUGUUCAAAUUCUUUACUCAUUACUUAACUGGGUUACUUGCAAUUAUCUUUUGGCUAAAGAGUUCAUCAGCUGGGAGUAUCCAUCUAGAUAGAAAUGCAACCUGUUUUUUUCUUGAUACUUUUUCCUUACCAAGUGUAUGAUUUGCAUAUAUUUCCUCUCCUUUUGUAGGUUGUUUUUUACUUUCCUGAUUGUGCAGCACAGUUUCUAAAAACAUUUUCAUAAAGCCUAAUUGAUCUACUUCUUUUGGGUCACCUGGACAUUUGGUAUCUAUCAUUCAUUAAGAAAUUAUCGCCCAAUCCAAGGUCACAACGAUUUACAGCUAUGUUUUUGUUUUUUCUAAAAUUGAACUUUAAAUUUUGCAUUGAC